rnacentral:rRNA from 1 species
UACGGGGGGGGCAAGCGUUGUUCGGAAUUACUGGGCGUAAAGGGCUCGUAGGUGGCCAACUAAGUCAGACGUGAAAUCCCUCGGCUUAACCGGGGAACUGCGUCUGAUACUGGAUGGCUAGAGUUUGGGAGAGGGAUGCGGAAUUCCAGGUGUAGCGGUGAAAUGCGUAGAUAUCUGGAGGAACACCGGUGGCGAAGGCGGCGACCUGGGUCGACACUGACGCUGAGGCGCGAAAGCGUGGGGAGCAAACAGG